rnacentral:rRNA from 1 species
CCUACGGGAGGCAGCAGUCGAGAAUCAUUCACAAUGGGGGAAACCCUGAUGGUGCGACGCCGCGUGGGGGAAUGAAGGUCUUCGGAUUGUAAACCCCUGUCAUGUGGGAGCAAAUUAAAAAGAUAGUACCACAAGAGGAAGAGACGGCUAACUCUGUGCAAGCAGCCGCGGUAAUCAAGAGGUCUCAAGCGUUGUUCGGAAUCACUGGGCGUAAGGGGUGCGUAGGCGGUUUCGUAAGUCGUGUGUGAAAGGCGCGGGCUCAACCCGCGGACGGCACAAGAUACUGCGAGACUAGAGUAAUGGAGGGGGAACCGGAAUUCUCGGUGUAGCAGUGAAAUGCGUAGAUAUCGAGAGGAACACUCGUGGCGAAGGCGGGUUCCUGGACAUUAACCGACGCUGAGGCACGAAGGCCAGGGGAGCGAAAGGGAUUAGAUAUCCCAGUAGUC